rfam:Flavobacterium fluvii strain DSM 19978 genome assembly, contig: Ga0131141_102
UUGAUUUAUAUAUUUGUCGAAUGAAAACGAUAUUAAACAAUACUUGGUGGUGGAACAAUUUACGUCAAACGUCGUGAACAAAGCACCUGUAGUAUAAACUAUAAAUAUGAAAGGCUUGUC